UGCUGAUUAUCCUAUCCCUACCUCCUCGCGGUACUGGCCGGGGUACGAGUAACCUUAGGGAAGAUCGGGUAACUUUGGUCGUAUGCUGACAGGGAAGG
rnacentral:ribozyme from 1 species